GAUUUAAUAUUAAAGGGCUGCAGUAUAUUGACUGUACAAAGGUAGCAUAAUCAUUAGUCAUUUAAUUGAUGACUUGUAUGAAAGAUUGGAUGAAAUAUUAGCUGUCUCUUAAUUAAAAAUAGAAUUUAAUUUUUUAAUUAAAAAGUUAAAAUAGUUUAAAAAGACGAGAAGACCCUAUAGAGUUUUAUAAAUAAAUUAAUUGAGGUUAUUUAUAUUUAAUAAAAUUAAAAUUAGUUUAAUUAUUGUGUUGGGGUGAUAGAAAAAUAUAUUUAACUUUUUUUAUAUUUAAAACAUUUAUAAGUGGUUAAAUGAUCCAAUAUUAUUGAUUAUAAGAAAAAAUUACCUUAGGGAUAACAGCGUAAUUUUUUUUUUUAGUUCACAUAAGAAAAAGAGUUUGCGACCUCGAUGUUGGAUUAAGAUAAAAUUUAAAUGCAGAAG
rnacentral:rRNA from 1 species